rnacentral:rRNA from 1 species
UACGUAGGGUCCGAGCGUUGUCCGGAAUUAUUGGGCGUAAAGGGCGCGUAGGCGGCCUUCUAAGUCGAACGUGAAAUCCCUGGGCUCAACCCAGGAACUGCGUCCGAUACUGGAAGGCUUGAAUCCGGGAGAGGGAUGCGGAAUUCCAGGUGUAGCGGUGAAAUGCGUAGAUAUCUGGAGGAACACCGGUGGCGAAGGCGGCAUCCUGGACCGGUAUUGACGCUGAGGCGCGAAAGCCAGGGGAGCAAAGCGGG